rnacentral:misc_RNA from 1 species
UGUUGAUAUUUUAUAACACGUUUGUAGGUGGUACUUGAUAUAGCAAGCAACCUCUCGUCCUCGGAGAAUCUUCUUUCCCCUUCUCUGCGUUUUAGCGAGAUUGGGUUUUAGCUUCAUGGCGACCUCAAAACUCCUCAUUUUCUCGUUCUUUUUUGCCCUAGUUUUCUCCACCGUUAGGCCGUAUGUUUCAAUCGAAGCCGACGCUCAAGUCCUUGAAUCGGGCGCCGCCGAUUCCUCCGCUUUGAAGAUCGAACUUGACCAACUCAAGUUUAAGAUCCACGACCUUGAAUCCCGAAUGGAUGAGAAAACUGUACAAUUGAAGAGCAAAGAUGAUAUAAUAGCGCAGAAGGAGAAAAUCAUUCAAGAAAAAUCAGAUAGUAUUGUGUCCUUGGGAAGCAAAAUAUCUUCCCUUCAGAAAAAGGGGAAACUAGACACUGCAGAGCAGGUGGGAAAGGCUCAUGCACGGGCUGGCCAACUGGAGCAUCAGGUUGACAAACUUAAAAAGGAAUUGGAAACACA